AUAGUGGCGACGGGUGAGUAACACGUGGGCAAUCUGCCCUUCACUCUGGGACAAGCCCUGGAAACGGGGUCUAAUACCGGAUAACACUCCUCCCUGCAUGGGGAGGGGUUAAAAGCUCCGGCGGUGAAGGAUGAGCCCGCGGCCUAUCAGCUUGUUGGUGGGGUAAUGGCCUACCAAGGCGACGACGGGUAGCCGGCCUGAGAGGGCGACCGGCCACACUGGGACUGAGACACGGCCCAGACUCCUACGGGAGGCAGCAGUGGGGAAUAUUGCACAAUGGGCGAAAGCCUGAUGCAGCGACGCCGCGUGAGGGAUGACGGCCUUCGGGUUGUAAACCUCUUUCAGCAGGGAAGAAGCGCAAGUGACGGUACCUGCAGAAGAAGCGCCGGCUAACUACGUGCCAGCAGCCGCGGUAAUACGUAGGGCGCAAGCGUUGUCCGGAAUUAUUGGGCGUAAAGAGCUCGUAGGCGGCUUGUCACGUCGGAUGUGAAAGCCCGGGGCUUAACCCCGGGUCUGCAUUCGAUACGGGCAGGCUAGAGUGUGGUAGGGGAGAUCGGAAUUCCUGGUGUAGCGGUGAAAUGCGCAGAUAUCAGGAGGAACACCGGUGGCGAAGGCGGAUCUCUGGGCCAUUACUGACGCUGAGGAGCGAAAGCGUGGGGAGCGAACAGGAUUAGAUACCCUGGUAGUCCACGCCGUAAACGUUGGGAACUAGGUGUUGGCGACAUUCCACGUCGUCGGUGCCGCAGCUAACGCAUUAAGUUCCCCGCCUGGGGAGUACGGCCGCAAGGCUAAACUCAAAGGAAUUGACGGGGGCCCGCACAGCAGCGGAGCAUGUGGCUUAU
rnacentral:rRNA from 1 species